AGCUUCAUAGCUCAGUUGGUUAGAGCGUCGCGAAGGUGUCGCGAGAUCACGGGUUCAAACCCCAUUGAAGUCU
rnacentral:tRNA from 1 species